rnacentral:rRNA from 1 species
GAUGAACGCUGGCGGCGUGCUUAAGACAUGCAAGUCGAGCGGCAACAUGUUUCUCACUAAGGUUCGAAACGGUAGAUAGUAGGCAAUAGUUUGUAGUUGGGUUAGCCCAUCUACCAUCUGUUAACUGCCAACUACCAAAGUUCCGAGCUUUAGUGAGGAAUGAUGGCGAGCGGCGGACGGCUGAGUAACGCACAGGGACGUACCCCAGAGUGAGGGAUAAUCCGCCGAAAGGCGGACUAAUACCGCAUAAUCUCUUCGGAGCAAAGGAGCAAUCCGCUAUGGGAGCGGCCUGUGUACGAUUAGCUUGUUGGUGAGGUAAAGGCUCACCAAGGCGACGAUCGUUAG